rnacentral:lncRNA from 1 species
CCAGACUCACAGCAUGCCUUCUGGCAGGACUUUGUGAUGCAACAAACAGGUAUUUGGGUCCCUCAUCCCCCAGAUCCCUGUUGCCUCAUGGGGGUGGGGUGGGGUCCCCUGGGGGAUGGCCAGCUACGCUGAGCCUUCUUCCCCCCACCCCCACCCCACCAGCAGUCCCUUCCACCAGCUCCGCCACAGAAGCAGUUCAUCAUCAGGGUCAGAGAGAUCCAUCCCUAAGAGGGAAAGAAGGGAAAGACACCCCACCCCCACCACCCCCGGAACCCACAUCCCAGUGUGGAGGAUCACACAGGCACACACAGGUAAGUGUUAAAACACAUGAAGGGAUGGCAAGGGCUCUGGAAAACACAAACCGAGCCAGCGUGUGGGUAAACGCGGGCGCACGCAUGCACGCACGCACUCGUAUGUGUGUACACACCCAGGCAAGUGUAUGUGGAAGCCAGAGAAAGACUUGUGUGCCUCCCUCUGCUGUUCUCCUCUGUGUUUUCAAUCAGGCUCCCAAGUGCUGAGUUUAAAGGCAUUUAUUUACCACUCUGCCCGGCCUUCCCACUACACCUGAAGCUCGAGGUGUGUUGACCUAUCUCCACUCACUAACAACUGGAUAACAGGCAUGCACAGCCAUGCCUGAAGUCUAUGUACAUUCAAAUUCAGGUCCUCUGAAUCAGGGUACAGCAAGCGGGCUUGCCCACUGAGCCAUCUCUCCAGCCCCAGGAAGUGUAUGCAGGCUGCUCCUGGGCUGUUUGAAUAGAAGCCUUCAAGCUGAGCCGCUAAGGAGGGUGGAGAGCACGUCCCUGGGGACCAUGUGCCUAGGCGGCUGCUGCACAACAGCCCUGAGGCAGGAUUGUCAGGCAUGGGUCAACCAUCCAACUCCCAAAGAGGUUUUCAGGAGGAGCUGGUGAGAUUUGCUGUUGGUCAGGGUGAGCACUGAGUCUGAGGAGUCAGGGUGUGGGUGAAGCCUUUGGAGUCUGGAUGUGCGUGGAGCUGUUUGAGCCACCGAGAUAAAGGAAACCCAGUGGAGCUGCUUUGGCAUGGAGGUGGCUCUGGCUUGCUUUCCCACAUCUGAAGCAAUCUGAGCCCAGCAAGAGGGGGGAGUGCUGGGCCUCCUGGGGGUGCAUUCUGGGCCCCUAGCGGCUCUCCCUCUCCUCUGCCCAUCAUCCUUACCUACCCUGAGCAGCAGCCACUGCCAGCAGCCAGUCACACCCAGCCAGCCACAGGCAGCCCUGGCAGUAGCCAGUGGAUCGGCAAGGGAACACUGCCUCUGAGCUCCAGGGCCCUCAGAGCCCGGCAAGCUCUGUCAUCACCAGCUCACCCACCCUUGGCUCACUGCUGUCCAGAGUAGGACAUGGCCAUCCUGCUGUGGCGGUGGCAGGCCCGAGCCCUUAGGGCCCAGACAGUGGGCAUCCAGCUCACCAAGAAAGGUUUGGCAAGGCCGAGGCCAGGAAUGCUUUACAAAGCUGGGGUAUGCAGGCAGGAGGGAGGGCACAGUUGUACAGAAGACUGGGAACCCAG